UUGGGCCCCUUCCGUCUGCUUUUCAUCAUGUUAAAUGUCCCUGCGCUACUCUCUUCUCUCUCCAACUUAAUAGUGAGCAUCUUUUUAAAACAAAGGCUUUGGUCAAGAAGAAAUGGGUCCAUGACCUGCCGACGGUCCUCGAGAUUGGCGUCUGGCCCGCCACUGCACUGGCUCUCAGGAGCUGGUCAGAGUUCCACUGGGCUCAGAUCCGGGCUCUCCCCCCACUUUGUGGGGGACCUCGGUGAGUCACUGAAUCUUUCUGAGACUCAUUUGUGAAAGAUAAGAACGCUGGAGAACUGAGAAGCUGGAUCAUUUCCACAGGCUCCCCCAGCGAGUCGUUUGCAGGUACCUAUUGGAACCCCAGCACCGGGCUUGGGAGCCCCUGCUCUUAACCACUGAGCUCUCCUGCCUCCUGUUGCCUCUGAGCACCAUGGCUACAGCUGUGAACAGGCGA